CGUGUAGGCGGUAAUGUAAGUCAGACGUGAAAUCCUUUGGCUCAACUGAAGAACUGCGUCUGAAACUGCAUAACUAGAGUGCAGAAGAGGGAAACGGAAUUCCCGGUGUAGAGGUGAAAUUCGUAGAUAUCGGGAGGAACACCGGUGGCGAAGGCGGUUUCCUGGUCUGACACUGACGCUGAGGCGCGAAAGCGUGGGGAGCAAACAGGAUUAGAUACCCUGGUAAUCCACGCCGUAAACGGUGGGUACUGGGUGUGGGAGGUGUAAUGCCUUCUGUGCCGAAGCUAACGCGUUAAGUACCCCGCCUGGGGAGUACGGCCGCAAGGUUGAA
rnacentral:rRNA from 1 species